rnacentral:ribozyme from 1 species
CCCUUUCAUGUACUGAGCCUCUACGUGGCGAAAGGGAUCAACAGACAAAACGUCUGGCUAAUCAGUA